UCAUGGGCUCAGAUGAAACGCUGGCGGCAUGCCUUACACAUGCAAGUCGAACGGCAGCACGGGGGCAACCCUGGUGGCGAGUGGCGAACGGGUGAGUAAAGCAUCGGAACGUAUCCGGAAGUGGGGGAUAACGUAGCGAAAGUUACGCUAAUACCGCAUAUUCUCUGAGGAGGAAAGAGGGGGAUCGCAAGACCUCUUGCUUUCGGAGCGGCCGAUGUCGGAUUAGCUAGUUGGUGAGGUAAAGGCUCACCAAGGCGACGAUCCGUAGCGGGUCUGAGAGGAUGAUCCGCCACACUGGGACUGAGACACGGCCCAGACUCCUACGGGAGGCAGCAGUGGGGAAUUUUGGACAAUGGGGGCAACCCUGAUCCAGCCAUGCCGCGUGAGUGAAGAAGGCCUUCGGGUUGUAAAGCUCUUUCGGCGGGGAAGAAAUCGCACGGACUAAUACUCUGUGUGGAUGACGGUACCCGAAUAAGAAGCACCGGCUAACUACGUGCCAGCAGCCGCGGUAAUACGUAGGGUGCGAGCGUUAAUCGGAAUUACUGGGCGUAAAGCGUGCGCAGGCGGUUGUGCAAGACAGGCGUGAAAUCCCCGGGCUUAACCUGGGAACUGCGCUUGUGACUGCACGGCUAGAGUACGGCAGAGGGGGGUGGAAUUCCACGUGUAGCAGUGAAAUGCGUAGAGAUGUGGAGGAACACCGAUGGCGAAGGCAGCCCCCUGGGCCAUUACUGACGCUCAUGCACGAAAGCGUGGGGAGCAAACAGGAUUAGAUACCCUGGUAGUCCACGCCCUAAACGAUGUCAACUAGGUGUUGGGUGGGUAAAACCAUUUAGUACCGAAGCUAACGCGUGAAGUUGACCGCCUGGGGAGUACGGC
rnacentral:rRNA from 1 species